GGUGAGAUGGCCGAGCGGUCUAAGGCGCCAGACUAAGGAUCAGAGCAUUCGAUGCUCCUCUCUAACUGUCUUUACAAAUGGUUAUCUGGUCCGAAAGGGCGUGGGUUCGAAUCCCACUCUCAUCA